rnacentral:tRNA from 19 species
GGCGUGUUAGUCAAGCGGUUAAGACACCGGCCCUUCAAGCCGGGAACACGGGUUCGCCCCCCGUACACGCUACCA